rnacentral:lncRNA from 1 species
ACUUUCACUAGGAAAGGUUGCCCCGGCCAGUUAGGUACACAUUAUUAAUCAAUAGAUUAAUAAAUGAGUAUCGGUUCCUUUAAUCAAACUUCUGGGUGUCCAGACUCACUUUAUGAAGUGCACCACUUCAAGAGCUUCCUUUUCAAAGCAAAAAAAAAUGAUGCAAAAGCAACUAGAAAAAUUGAGAACAAGAACCAAGAAGCCACAGUCAGCAUCACAUAGGAUUAUGAAGCAAGUGUGAGAAAGGAAAACUUGGGAUACAAAACACCAAAAGAUAACAACACAAAGACUUAUAACGACAAAUAACUGAUUCUGUAAACCUGAACAGAAUUCUACAAGAGGUGUUGAUUAAUUCAGAUCAAGUGUAUUCCAUAAGAGUUUCUAAUUUUGAUUAUGAUAUAUCCAACUGCUACAGGGGCAAGAAGCAUAAACAAUCUCGGUUUAGACAAACUCUUUUCAUCCAAAGUGUAUUCUCUGCGUGGCCCCAUAUUCUUCAAAUUUGUUGUUCACUUCAACAAGAUGAGGCAAGGACCUGAGAGCUAUUGUCACGGACCAUCUCAUCUUUUUAUUUGUAUUUUCAAUGUCUGGCACAAUGUCUGGCACAAGCUACCUAUUGGAGCUAUUGGAGCAACCUGUCCAGAUCCAGGACUUUACCUUAAAGCUCUCCCACAACAUCCUUACAAUCAGGAUCCAGCCCUAAACUGAGAAAGGGGCUUGGUCCUGACUUGUUGGGCAAUUGGCAUGUAAAUAAUAAAUUGAAAUGCUCAGAAGUUUGAAUUUUUGUU